GCCGACGUAGCUCAGUUGGUAGAGCAGCUGAUUCGUAAUCAGCAGGCCAGCGGUUCAAGUCCGCUCGUCGGCUCCA
rnacentral:tRNA from 1 species